ACUCCGGUUGAUCCUGCCGGACCCUACUGCUCUCGGGGUGAGGCUAAGCCAUGCAAGUCGGAGGUCUCAGGGAAUCCUGGGGCCUGGCGCACGGCUGAGUAACGCGUGGCCAACCUACCCUGCGGAGGGGGAUAACCCCGGGAAACUGGGGAUAAACCCCCAUAGGUGAGCAGCUCUGGAACGACUGCUCGCCGAAAACCCGGCGCGGGGACCCUCUGCGUCGGGGCCGCAGGAUGGGGCUGCGUCCUAUCAGGUUGUUGGUGGGGUAACGGCCCACCAAGCCUAAGACGGGUAGGGGCCCUGAGAGGGGGAGCCCCCAGAUGGACUCUGAGACAAGAGUCCAGGCCCUACGGGGCGCAGCAGGCGCGAAAACUUCGCAAUGGGCGAAAGCCCGACGGGGUUACCCCGAGUGCCACCCUCGUGGUGGCUUUUGCCCGCUGUAGAUAGGCGGGCGAAUAAGGGGAGGGCAAGUCGGGUGUCAGCCGCCGCGGUAAUACCCGCUCCCCGAGUGGUAGGGACUGUUACUGGGCCUAAAGCGCCCGUAGCCGGCCUAGUGUGUCCCUCGUUAAAUCCACAGGCCUAACCUGUGGGCUGCGGGGGAUACUACUAGGCUUGGGGGUGGGAGAGGCGCCCGGUAUUCCUAGGGUAGGGGUAAAAUCCUCUGAUCCUAGGAGGACCACCAGUGGCGAAGGCGGGGCGCCAGAACACGCCCGACGGUGAGGGGCGAAAGCUGGGGGAGCAAACGGGAUUAGAUACCCCGGUAGUCCCAGCUGUAAACGAUGCGGGCCAGGUGCCGGGACGGCUACGAGCCGCCUCGGUGCCGAAGGGAAGCCAUUAAGCCCGCCGCCUGGGGAGUACGGCCGCAAGGCUGAAACUUAAAGGAAUUGGCGGGGGAGCACUACAAAGGGUGAUCGCGUGCGGUUUAAUCAGAUUCUACACCGUGAACCUCACCAGGACCGACAGCAGAAUGAAGGUCAGUCUGAAGGGCUUACCUGACACGCUGAGAGGAGUUACAUAGCCGUCGUCAGCCUGUGCCGUGAGGUGAUCUGUUAAAUCAGGUAACAGGCGAGACCCGCGUGUGCAGUUGCUCCUCGGUAAGAGAGUACACUGCACAGACCGCUACUGCAAAGUAGAGGAAGGUGCGGGCAACGACAGGUGGCAUGGCCCGAAUGCCCUGGGCUACACGCGCGCGUCAAUGGCGGCAACAAUGGGAUGCAACUCCGAAAGGAGAAGCUAAUCCCCUAAAUGCCGUCUUAGUCUCGAUUGAGGCUUGCAACUCAGCCUCAUGACACUGGAAUCCUUAGUAAUCGGACGUUAGCAGCGUCCGGUGAAUAGGUCCCUGCUCCCUGCACACACCGCCCAUCAAUCCGACCGAGCUUUCUUAGGGUGAAGCUUCAUAAAGAAGAAGAACCCUAGGAAGGUGAGGUAGGAUAAGUUGUCACAAGGUACCCGUAGGGGAACCUGCGGGUGGAUCACCUCCU
rnacentral:rRNA from 1 species